rnacentral:rRNA from 1 species
AUUGAACGCUUGCGGCAUGCCUAACACAUGCAAGUCGAACGAGUGGCGGACGGGUGAGUCAUGCCUGUUCACCUGCCCGUUGGAGGGGGAUUACUACUUGUAACGGUAGCUAAAUCCGCCUACCAUCUGAUUUACCCAUAUGGGAUUAGCUAGUAGGUGGGGUAAAGGCUCACCAAGGCGACGAUCUCUAGCUGGUCCGAGAGGAUGACCAGCCACACGGGAACUGAGACACGGUCCAGACUCCUACGGGAGGCAGCAGUGGGGAAUAUUGCACAAGGGGGGAAAGCCUGAUGCAGCCAUGCCGCGUGUAUGAAGAAGGCCUUCGGGUUGUAAAGUACGUUCAGCGGGGAGGCGUUACCCGCAGAAGAAGCACCGGCUAACUCCGUGCCAGCAGCCGCGGUAAUAC